CAUUACCCCACUGUGUCUAUUGUAACCAACACUGCAGUCCAAACCAAAUACGACGUUAUCUCUGUGACGAAAACGGCAAUACGCAUAACAGUUUCUGUCAUCUCAUAUCAACAGCUUGCCAACAGGGACGCAGUAUCAGAUUAGCAUAUCAUGGAAGGUGUCGAGAAAAUGCUAAUUGUAGUAAUAUUGUUUGUCCGUCUGGCAAGACGUGUCUAACCGAUCCAAGAAAUGGCCGCCCUGUGUGCUACGGUUGCAACCGCCAUUGUGAACAUGUGCCAAGUGUUAGAGUGUGUGGCACAAACAACCGCACUUAUGAGAACUACUGCGAUCUCAGCGCCAGUGCUUGCAAACAGGGAAUUUAUAUUAAAGCUGUACAUACAGGGAGCUGUAAAUCUUCGAACGAUACACAGAGUUUGGAAAAUCACAAUAAUUACUCAUCAGUAUCAACGACAGCCAAUCCAUAAAUUAAAUUCUGUAUUGCCAAGAGACAGACAAAGCAGAGCCAGUGCACCAUGUUGUAACCAGUGAAGAGGUUGAUUGAUAUUUGGAAAUUAAGGAAGAAUGAAGACGAAAACAAGGACAACCAAUAGAAAACAUGAACAAAGAACUUUGUCGAUGUGUUCACGUUACAAAUGGACAGAAAUGGUUAUAUACUGACAAGUUUUUGCAUGGCAACUAAAAACUGCUAAUGUUUAAGAAUUAGUGCGAUGUAUGUAUGAUUACGAGUACAUGUGCAUGUAUAUAUGCGUAUAUGUGUUGUAUGGGUGGGCGUUUAUGAAUGUGUGUGUAUAUAUAUAUAUAUAUAUA